rnacentral:rRNA from 1 species
CCGACGGGAGCUUGCUCCCUUAGGUCAGCGGCGGACGGGUGAGUAACACGUGGGUAACCUGCCUGUAAGACUGGGAUAACUCCGGGAAACCGGGGCUAAUACCGGAUGCUUGAUUGAACCGCAUGGUUCAAUCAUAAAAGGUGGCUUUCAGCUACCACUUACAGAUGGACCCGCGGCGCAUUAGCUAGUUGGUGAGGUAACGGCUCACCAAGGCGACGAUGCGUAGCCGACCUGAGAGGGUGAUCGGCCACACUGGGACUGAGACACGGCCCAGACUCCUACGGGAGGCAGCAGUAGGGAAUCUUCCGCAAUGGACGAAAGUCUGACGGAGCAACGCCGCGUGAGUGAUGAAGGUUUUCGGAUCGUAAAACUCUAUUGUUAGGGAAGAACAAGUACCGUUCGAAUAGGGCGGCACCUUGACGGUACCUAACCAGAAAGCCACGGCUAACUACGUGCCAGCAGCCGCGGUAAUACGUAGGUGGCAAGCGUUGUCCGGAAUUAUUGGGCGUAAAGCGCGCGCAGGCGGUUUCUUAAGUCUGAUGUGAAAGCCCCCGGCUCAACCGGGGAGGGUCAUUGGAAACUGGGGAACUUGAGUGCAGAAGAGGAGAGUGGAAUUCCACGUGUAGCGGUGAAAUGCGUAGAGAUGUGGAGGAACACCAGUGGCGAAGGCGACUCUCUGGUCUGUAAC